AACAACGUUCUAAACUCAAGGCUUUGUCCCUUCUCUUCAUCGCUUUCCUCACCUUCAAAUUCUACUCCAUCUAAUACACUAUCCACCGCCUUAGGAAAGUACAAAGGUCAUAGCCGCCGCCAUGGGCAAGUAGGAGGUGUCAACAGCCUUGGAAAUCAAGUUUCAAAAUUGGUAAUUCCUCAAAGCUAUGAAGCUAGAGCUGGAAACCCUGGAAUCAGGAGCUGGAACUCUAAAAAUAUGGAGGUGGCAAGUCUAGUACCUUUAUGGGUGACGAAUAAAUAAGUUUGACGUUAUUUUACUGUAAGGGUGUUUUUAAUAAUGUGAUAUACAAGUGUGUUAUUGCUAAACAUGCUUGGGUUCCUAGACAAGAACUUGGAAUAUAGUUGACCUUUUGUUGUAAUUGUUGAUGUAAACCCCUUUUGUAAUUAAUAAAGGUUGU
rnacentral:lncRNA from 1 species